ACAGCAGUAGCCACGGUAACACGGAGGGUGCAAGCGUUAAUCGGAAUUACUGGGCGUAAAGCGCACGCAGGCGGUCUGACAAGUCAGAUGUGAAAUCCCCGGGCUUAACCUGGGAACUGCAUUUGAAACUGUCAGGCUGGAGUCUUGUAGAGGGGGGUAGAAUUCCAGGUGUAGCGGUGAAAUGCGUAGAGAUCUGGAGGAAUACCGGUGGCGAAGGCGGCCCCCUGGACAAAGACUGACGCUCAGGUGCGAAAGCGUGGGGAGCAAACAGGAUUAGAUACCCCAGUAGUCCCUGUCUCUUAUAC
rnacentral:rRNA from 1 species